GAUGAAGAACGUAGCGAAAUGCGAUAAGUAAUGUGAAUUGCAGAAUUCAGUGAAUCAUCGAAUCUUUGAACGCACAUUGCGCCCGCCAGUAUUCUGGCGGGCAUGCCUGUUCGAGCGUCAUUACAACCCUCAGGCCCCCGGGCCUGGCGUUGGGGAUCGGCGGAGCCCCCCGUGGGCACACGCCGUCCCCCAAAUGCAGUGGCGGUCCCGCCGCAGCUUCCAUCGCGUAGUAGCUAACACCUCGCGACUGGAGAGCGGCGCGGCCACGCCGUAAAACACCCAACUCUUCUGAAGUUGACCUCGAAUCAGGUUGGAAUACCCGCUGAACUUAAGCAUAUCAAUAAGCGGAGGA
rnacentral:misc_RNA from 1 species